ACUGUCCCUAUAAAAUUGGGACAUCUGGUCACCCUAUGUAUGAGUAAAUAAAAACAUUUAAGAAUAGAUACAACUGGUUCAUGAUCUGCUGAGCAAAUCAAGUUGAAAUAAAUAUGCAAGGAAACAACAUUUAAACUGUCUGAAAUAAAGCAGAUUGUCCAACUGAGGUAUAUUAUUAGCCCUGCUAUUUCCAGAAAAUAAGUUAGUAUGUCAGCAAAGUCCAAGUUUAAUUUGAAAUGCCUGUUAAUAAGGCAUUUUGCUGGUCUGAGUCUUAGUAAUUUAUAUAUAUUAUUCAACUUGUAUAAUGGAGGCUUAUCCCCUUCUCUUCCAUUGUUUUUGUUGCAUAACAAUGGUUUAAAUUUGGCUACAUCACUGCACUUUAAACAUUUUUACAACAUAUGCAUCAAAAACAAUUUUUCCCCAAAUAUCACUUCUGACAAUCCAUUCAUCAACUUGGCAGGACAUCCAAGCACAUUGAACUGUGCCGCUCUAGUCAGCUUCUCUCUUUCCUUGGUCACUGGACUGGCAGAAACUGCACAUCCCCCAGAAGGGCAGGGGAAAGAGAUAUGUGUCUCAAACAGCCAGUUAAGCAGAACCUGUCAACUGUUUCCCAAGGGGAAUAAGUGCUAUACACCAACAGCUGAUACCAGCAUCAAAACAGGUUCAAAAGUACUUGCAAAUAUAGCGUGUUAGAGCAUACUCGAAUGAAUUGUAAUACACAUAUGGAAAUGUUUUUUCCUCCAUGUUGUGCAUAAUAAUGGUCAUUGUCCAUGGUUAGAUAAUUGGGACAUCACAACAUAUCUAGUUAAAUAUAUCUGUAUUAAUUUCAUUAAAAUGAGUGGUAUACCGCAGUGCGUGAAAAUCAUCUCUAUUGUAGUACUAUUCCAAAUGAAUUCAUGAGCAAGUGGGGGAGAUAUUCGUAGAAAUUCAUGGGGAAUUUCAUCCUAAAAGGUGAUGCCUGGGAAUGUUGUGAAUGUGUGCAAAGAGGAAGUUCUCUGCUGGAACUUAUUGUAACUAUUGAGUGUAGAAUGCCAUUAAACCCUACUUCCAGUUGCCAUGACUCUGUCUUCAGCAACGAGUCUCCUCAGAGCUUGUACUGCGCUUGGGAUGAGCAGGAGUCUGCUUAGUGUUGCUGACCUCUCUUCCUGGUUUAUACAGUUCAGAACAGAAGAGGGCUCCUCUGUUGCUACCAUCUUUUGUCAGACAACAGCACCUCAUUCCUCAUAAGCUGAAAUAUGUGAAAGGGAUAAAGGGGCAGAAAGAGAGUUAAUGGGUGAGGGGGAAGAAAGGGAGACUGAGAAUCGGAGUAGACUUGCUCAUUUGAAAAUAGGAGACCAAGGUGAAGUAAAACACAGCUACUCUAGAAGACACCUUCAAAUGAACUAGUAUUGGGUCCCAUACAGAUCAUUAAUCCAUUGUGCCCUUCUCCUUAAAGCCACCUCUGUCACCAAUGCCACAGCUCUCCAUCGUCCGGGGCAGCAUGAUGUAUGGGGUCCAUUGAAAAUCAAACAAGUAUGCCUCCAACAAGCAGAAGCACAUCUUGGAUUUUCCAAUACAUUCAGAAUGAGACCUAUUACUAUCCUUGUUUCCUCCAUAUUUGGGUCAAAAGAAUGGCAAGGGGAAAGGCAAAACUCUGUGGUUCCCAACAUCCACACAGAUCAGAUCAGACAGAGACAGGUGAAUCCUGGAGGUGAAUGCCUGGCUGUGAAAAUAGUAUCUCCAGGAGGGCUUCGGCUUCCUUGACCACGGGUUGCUGUUCGAUGAAGAAGGACUGCUCAGCAGAGAUGGGAUCCACCUAUUGAGGAAGAGGAAGAACAUAUUUGGAUACAAACUGGCUAACCUAGUGAGAAGGGUUUUAAACUAGAUUCAAAGGGAGCAGGUGACCAAAGCCCACAGGUAAGUCAAAAACAUGGAACCCUGGGAGAAGGGUUUGAGUCUGGGGGGAGCACAGUUAUAGCAGGGAUAAGGGAGAGACAAGAUAGAACUGGGUGUGGGGAAUGAAAUCAGUAUCUUAGAUGCCUGUAUAAGCAGGAAGACCUCAAAAUGCUAGUAAAUAAACACAACUAUG